GGAGAAAUGGCAGAGUGGUUGAACGCGGCGGUCUUGAAAACCGUUUUACGGCAACGUAACGGGGGUUCGAAUCCCUCUUUCUCCG
rnacentral:tRNA from 1 species